UACGUAGGGGGCAAGCGUUGUCCGGAAUUAUUGGGCGUAAAGAGCGCGUAGGCGGUCCGAUAAGUCGGCUGUGAAAGUCAAGGGCUCAACCCUUGAAAGCCGGCCGAUACUGUCGGACUAGAGUCCGGAAGAGGCGAGUGGAAUUCCCGGUGUAGCGGUGAAAUGCGCAGAUAUCGGGAGGAGCACCAAUGGCGAAGGCAGCUCGCUGGGACGGUACUGACGCUGAGGCGCGAAAGCGUGGGGAGCAAACAGG
rnacentral:rRNA from 1 species